rnacentral:rRNA from 1 species
GACGAACGCUGGCGGCGUGCUUAACACAUGCCAGUCGAACGGAAAGGCCCUGCUUUUGUGGGGUGCUCGAGUGGCGAACGGGUGAGUAACACGUGAGUAACCUGCCCUUGACUUUGGGAUAACUUCAGGAAACUGGGGCUAAUACCGGAUAGGAGCUCCUGCUGCAUGAUGGGGGUUGGAAAGUUUCGGCGGUUGGGGAUGGACUCGCGGCUUAUCAGCUUGUUGGUGGGGUAGUGGCUUACCAAGGCUUUGACGGGUAGCCGGCCUGAGAGGGUGACCGGCCACAUUGGGACUGAGAUACGGCCCAGACUCCUACGGGAGGCAGCAGUGGGGAAUAUUGCACAAUGGGCGGAAGCCUGAUGCAGCAACGCCGCGUGCGGGAUGACGGCCUUCGGGUUGUAAACCGCUUUCGCCUGUGACGAAGCGUGAGUGACGGUAAUGGGUAAAGAAGCACCGGCUAACUACGUG